rnacentral:SRP_RNA from 1 species
UCAAGUCAGGAGUUGGUCGGAUUUGUCUAGCCGAAAGGCUUGGUGGACUCGAUCCUAUGGUGGAGGGAAACAUGUGAGGCUGGCUUCACAGAACAAGGACUCAACCAGUGAUUGAA